AGGACACGCUGGCGGCGUGCCUAACACAUGCAAGUCGAACGGGAUCCAUGGAGUGCUUGCACUCCGGAAGAUCUAGUGGCGAACGGGUGAGUAACACGUGAGAAACCUGCCCCAGACUCUGGGAUAACCUCGGGAAACCGAAGCUAAUACCGGAUAUUCUCCUUUGGUCGCAUGGCCAGUUGAGGAAAGUUUUUCGGUCUGGGAGGGUCUCGCGGCCUAUCAGCUAGUUGGUGGGGUAACGGCCCACCAAGGCUACGACGGGUAGCUGGUUUGAGAGAACGAUCAGCCACACUGGAACUGAGACACGGUCCAGACUCCUACGGGAGGCAGCAGUGGGGAAUCUUGCGCAAUGGGCGAAAGCCUGACGCAGCAACGCCGCGUGCGGGAUGAAGGCCUUCGGGUUGUAAACCGCUUUCAGCAGGGACGAAAAUGACGGUACCUGCAGAAGAAGCCCCGGCUAACUACGUG
rnacentral:rRNA from 1 species